rnacentral:antisense_RNA from 1 species
AUCCUACCGAGGCCACCAUAGACCAGCCAGCCCUCAGCGUACAUGCCAGCUAAUUACAGAUGCAGGAGCAAACCCCUGGCCCAUACAUCAAUUUUAAUGUCAUUGAAUACAGAGAACAAAUCUCAUUCAUUUUGGUAUCGGCUCGAGUCAACAAACAUUGAAAAAUCAUUUACUGCGUCUGAUUUUGGGUAUGUUGAAUUGGUGACAUCUGAGUUGCUUCUGGUCUAUCCUGAUAGAAACAUACAGUAAACAGAGAAAAAAAAGGAUCUCAGGUGAGAUGAUGUAUGGGAAUGCUCAGCAUACAGAAUGAAUGGAUAAGAGGCCUGAAAACAUAAUCCUGUAAACAACCAUAUUGAAAGAGAAGACAGAAGACAUCAAAGAGGAUUUUGGAAGCAUUGCCUUCUACAGAAUCCACAGUAGUCCGAAGUUCUUCUACGGUUUUUGUCAAACUUUGAUUUUCCAUCUCUAGCUUCAAUAAUCUACUUGAUGUCAACUCAUUCACCUCAUGGCCCAGGGAUUUCUGCGGUGCUAUAAUAUUGAAAAAUACACCAUUGUAUUUACUCUGUACUGUUUUUACUAUGUUUACUCUUUACUAUUUAAAAAGUUGAGUGUAUAUGCAUUGCAUCAUCUGAUCUUUAACUUUAUUAAAAAUUCAAUGGGGUUAUGUAAGAUAAACAAGAUAAGAGAGGUAAAUCUUUUUUUUCCUUUUCUUUUUUUCUUUUUUUAAAGAGACGGGGUGUCUCUCUGUCAUCCAGGUUGGAGUGCAGUGAUGUGUUCCUAGCUCACUGCAGCCUCAAACUCCUGGUCUGAAGGGAUCCUC